GAAAUGCGAUAAGUAGUGUGAAUUGCAGAAUUCCGUGAAUCAUCGAAUCUUUGAACGCACAUUGCGCCCUCUGGUAUUCCGGGGGGCAUGCCUGUCCGAGCGUCAUUGCAACCCUCAAGCGCGGCUUGCGUGUUGGGUCCCGUGCCGUCGCCUCCCCGGCGGCGGCAGGCCCGAAAGGCAGUGGCGGCGUCCCGACGUGGGUGCCCGAGCGAAUGGGAGUUCUUUGUGACUGUCCGCUCCGGAGGCCCCGGCGGCGCCGGCCGAAUCGGAAGUGAAUCGGAAGCGAAUCUCUUCGGUUGACCUCGGAUCAGGUAGGAGUACCCGCUGAACUUAA
rnacentral:misc_RNA from 1 species